rnacentral:rRNA from 1 species
GUCCUUAUGUUUUAUAUUUAAGGUCUAGCCUGCCCACUGAUUAUUUAAAUGGCCGCAGUAUCUUGACUGUGCAAAGGUAGCAUAAUCAUUUGGCCUUUAAUUAAGGUCUGGAAUGAAUGGUUUGACGAGAGAGUUGCUGUCUCUCUUUUAUUGUUAUUGAAUUUUACUUUUUAGUGAAAAGGCUUAAAUUCUUUUAUUAGACGAGAAGACCCUAUAGAACUUUAUUUUUUACAUAGGUUUAGUUAUUUGAUGUUUAAUUUUAUUGGGGUGAUAGUUGAAUUUAAUAAACUUUAAUUUUUUUUUACAUAAAUAUAUGCUUGUUUGAUCUUGAAUUUUUGAUUAUAAGAAUAAGUUACCUUAGGGAUAACAGCGUUAUUUUCCAGGAAAGUUCAAAUUUAUUGGGAAGUUUGCGACCUCGAUGUUGGAUUAAAGUUUACUUUUGGUGAAGAAGCUAAACGGUUAGGUCUGUUCGACCUUUAAAACUUUACA